rfam:Arabidopsis lyrata subsp. lyrata unplaced genomic scaffold ARALYscaffold_1, whole genome shotgun sequence.
AUUGGCAAAUGAUGAGUAGAAUCUUAUCCUACACACAGAUGUAUCAGUGUUGACUACCAAUCUCUCCUUAUUAUCUGAUGCCAUA